UUGACAGCACUGGAAACUGAAUCCCUCUCUUCAUCCACAGAGCAGGGACAACAGGAUUGCAAUCUGCUCCCUGCACCAUUAUUGCUCACUAUAAACCCAGGACUCUCCCAGGGGCCAGAGCACAGUUCAAUCCAUACCAGAUAGUCACGUGUUGGUCUCU
rnacentral:sRNA from 1 species